rnacentral:sRNA from 1 species
GCUUUUGAAAGGCGGCGGGAGGCGGCGAGCGCCAUGGCCAGUCCGGGUCGCCUGCUGUGCGUGCUGGGCCUGCUACUUUGCGGGGCGGCGAGCCUCGAGCUGUCUAGACCCCACGGCGACACCGCCAAGAAGCCCAUCAUCGGAAUAUUAAUGCAAAAAUGCCGUAAUAAAGUCAUGAAAAACUAUGGAAGAUACUAUAUUGCUGCGUCCUAUGUAAAGUACUUGGAGUCUGCAGGUGCAAGAGUUGUACCAGUAAGGCUGGAUCUUACAGAGAAAGACUAUGAAAUACUUUUCAAAUCUAUUAAUGGAAUCCUUUUCCCUGGAGGAAGUGUUGACCUCAGACGCUCAGAUUAUGCUAAAGUGGCCAAAAUAUUUUAUAACUUGUCCAUACAGGUAAAUAUCAGUUAUUGCUUAUUAUUCCAGACGGGUUUCUGUAAGUUUUUGUGCGAGUGGUUCAUUUUUUAAGCAGAUGGUAAUGCUCCCUUCAAAAUUACCCUUAGCCUCAUCAUACCUUUAAUUUUGAGGUGCCUGUUCUUGGCUGCUCCCGCCUAUUUUCCAUGUGCUUCAUCUAAUC